CUCUGCGUGCGCCGGAGGCUGCCGUGGCGGGUGGGCCGCCUGACUUCUCCUCCCGGCCAGUUCUCGAGCGCCUCACCGGGCCUCGCCCUGCAGCCUCGCUCUCGCUGGCGCUGCGCGGCCUAGGGGACUGGGCUGCUGGCCUCCGGGUGCGGGGUGGGGGCAGGCUCCGACCUGGGGCGUCCUGGCCGCGCGAGCCGCGGGAUGGGGGCCCGGGCCGCGGAGGAGGCGCCGCUGGUGUGUCCCUUGGUGGAGAGGGCGCUGCCGGCCCUGCGCGGUUUCCAGCCAGGAAGCUUCGGGAAGCCUGGACGUCUGCUCACUGGAGAUGACACGUGCGUGGGGUGUUGGGUAAGUUGGUGCAUUGGAGCUGGAACAGGGUCAAUCCUCCAAUGUAACUAAGCCCUCCUGUGCAACAUCUUAAGUGACUGGAGGGACCAGUCGGUCUUGUGUUCACAUUGAGGCUAGAAGCUGUCUCCAGGGGAGUAAAAACGGAUUAUUUAGUCUUCAACAGGACACUGCCCCUAGAGGCGUUGCAGCUGUGGCUGCCGUGUCACAUCUGUGUCAUUAGGUGGCAGAGAUUAGAGAGGCUAUGUCUACGCUCAGCGUUCUGCCCCGUGAACGUUUGAAUGUUUGAUAGUCUCACACUCCUGUUUUGUGGACAGGCAUCUGUUUUCCUUCGCUGGUAUCUGGGAGAGAGGGUGGGCCCUGUGAGUGGGCUUUCUAACUCUCGCGCUGGGCUAGGCUGGCCUCUAGGGGUCUGAAGGGAUAGUGGGAAGGUGGAGGGUGCCUUCACCAGGAGCAGCCUUCAUGAGUGAGUUUUAAGAACCUGUGAGGAUCGGUCAGGUCAGGUGAGGUACGCGCUGGAUCAUGCCGUACACCGUGUCAGGAUCACGCAGGACAGGACUGGGGAAGGGUUUGCUGGCGUCUCGGUUAAUAGCAGUAACGGCAGCCGCUUGUGUUCUUGAUUCUUUGCCAAGCAUUCUUGUUAUUUAACACGGGAAGGAGGUGACUUCGCCUGUGAUGGACUUCCAGUGUGAGCACUGGCCAGAGUGACCAGGCUGACCAGCACCAGCCCUGAUCCAGGUAAGAGGUGAGGCGGAGGCUUGCCCUCCUUCCCUGCCUGCCGGGUGCGUGUGAGCGGCUGCCCUGCGGAUGCUGUCCUGGACCUGUUGGCACCACAGACAGUUGCUCUGCUGUGCCUGUGGCCUCGGGGCAAAGAGAAAGUGGCGAUUUCUACACUCAGUGCUCGGGAACCAGUGGGCACUGAGAAUGGUUUAUGGCCUGACAUUACUUGCAACCAAAGCCAGGCAGCAUUUGGAUUUUCGCUUUUGGAAACCACCUUACCUGGUUUGCUCCAUGAGGGAGGGGCAGCAACAUCGCUGGGAACCCUGAGGUGUAGAUAUGUAUAAAUGAGCUGUGUGUGUAUCUGAAGCUCGGGCACUUGUGGGGUUACCAGGAGUGUGCGUCUCACUCCCAGGCCUCGUUCUGGAAACGAUUCUGUAGGUCUGUCUGGGAGGCCUUAGGCAAGUUUGAUUAAGAACAGUCGAGCUGGAUAAACAGGCUGUUCCUUGUCCAGCACUAGUCAUCCCAGGGGGGCGGGGGCGGGGCUGCAACUCCUGUGCACAAAGGAAGGGCCCUGGGUAGGGGUCAGGAGCUGCCUUGCCCAGAGAUGUGUCUGGGUCACUUUGGAAACAGGAAUCCUCUCCCCAAAAUGGGUAGCAAUGGGGGUACAGAGGCCAAAGACGCAGCUGCAUGUCCUGCAGUGCCUGGGACGCCCCGUAGUGAAGAGUGAUGUGGCCCAAAUGUCAGCAGUGCCAGUGUCAGACUCCUGCUAAGAGACAGUAUCAAGAAAGAUAACUUCAAAAUACACUUUCUGGAGGCCUGGCGCGGUGGCUCAGGCCUGUAAUCCCAGCACUCUGGGAGGCCAAUGCAUGUGGAUCACCUGAGGUCAGGAGUUCGAGACCAGCCUGGCCAACUGCCUGAAACCCCAUCUCUACUAAAAAUACAAAAAUUAGCCAGGUGUGGUGGCGCAAGCCUGUAAUCCCAGCUAUUUGGGAGGCUGAGGCAGGAGAAUCGCUUGAACCCGGGAGGCAGAGGUUGCAGUGAGCCGAGAUCGCACCACUGCACUCCAGCCUGGACAACAGAGUGGGACUCUGUCUCAAAAAAAAAAAAAAAAAAA